CCUAAGAUGGCGGCGUUUGACAAAUCAUUUAGUGAACGAACUUGACAAAUACAUUUUAGUAAGGAAUAUAAAACUCAUAAUGUAAUGACAAAGUGGAAUGGGUAGUUGCAAACUUGCUCUGCGGGUAUCUCUAAGAUCAUUGCGUCCCCUGUGCAGUUAAUAUGCCAUUCGGAUCCACAGGAAGUACAGCAAAUCCACUCACUGGCAGCUCCCUCGUCGGAUCGACAACCCGGUUCAUUGCUGUCCAAGCUUCAUGGGGGUUCUUUCAGUUGAUGUACAGAGGACACUUUGGCAAGCAAGGGGCUCAAGCAUUGUAGGCUAGAGAAAUAGAACUUGAGCCAGAUGCUGGACAUUUCUUGACCUCCCUCCUGUCUAGGUAGAAGUGACUGUUAAUGGAAUAGUUAUAUAGUUACCAGCAGAAUUGUUACUCAAGCCGAACACUUGAAACUAUACUGGCCCCAUCCUGUUUAGGUGGAAGUGACAGUGGUUGGGAUAGAUAUCUAGUGAGCAGCAGCCACGAAAUUCAAGCCAAACACUGGACCUGUAUUGGCCUCUAACCUGUUGAGUUGGAAGUGACAGUUGUUGUCUAAUGAGCAGCAAAAAUAGAACUCAAGCCAAACCCUGGACAUGUACUGACCUCCCUCAUGUUGAGUUUGAAGUGAAAAUGGUUGUCUAGUGGGCAGUAGAAAUAAAAAAAUCAAGCCAUACACUGAACCUGAACUGACCUCUUUCUUGUUUGGGUGGAAGUGACUGUUCCUCGGAUAGUUGUCAAGUCAAGAAUUACA